UACGUAGGUAGCGAGCGUUAUCCGGAAUUAUUGGGCGUAAAGGGUGCGCAGGCGGCAUGUCAAGUUUAAGGUGAAAGGCUAAGGCUCAACCUUAGUAAGCCUCGGAUACUGUCAAGCUUGAGUGCAGGAGAGGCAAGUGGAAUUCCUUGUGUAGCGGUGAAAUGCGUAGAUAUAUGGAGGAACACCGGUGGCGAAGGCGGCUUCCUGGAUAGUGACUGACGCUGAGGCGCGAAAGCGUGGGGAGCAAAUAGG
rnacentral:rRNA from 1 species